UACAGGGGGGGCAAGCGUUGUUCGGAAUUACUGGGCGUAAAGGGCUCGUAGGUGGCCAACUAAGUCAGACGUGAAAUCCCCUCAGCUUAACUGGGGAACUGCGUCUGAUACUGGAUGGCUUGAGUUUGGGAGAGGGAUGCGGAAUUCCAGGUGUAGCGGUGAAAUGACGUAGAUAUCUGGAGGAACACCGGUGGCGAAGGCGGCAUCCUGGACCAAUACUGACACUGAGGAGCGAAAGCCAGGGGAGCAAACGGG
rnacentral:rRNA from 1 species